rnacentral:rRNA from 1 species
CGCGUAGGUGGUUUAGUAAGUCAAGGUUGAAAUCCGGCGGCUCACCCGUCGAACUGGCCUCGAUACUGCUGAACUAGAGUCAUGGAGGGGUGCGUGGAACUCGUGGUGGAGCGGUGAAAUGCUCAGAUAUCACAGGGAACACCGGAGGCGAAGGCGACGCACUGGACAUGUACUGACACUGAGGCGCGAAAGCGUGGGUAGCGAACAGGAUUAGAUACCCUGGUAGUCC